UAUUUUUAAUUACAAUCCGUAUUAUUAUUUUUGACCAUUCUAAGUUAUAGAAAAGUCAAAAAUAAUCUUUAUGGGUUGGGAGGUGUGUAAAGAAGUGUAUGAUUUUAUUUUGUUUAAUGAUGACAUGUUUAUUUGAUUUGUUUAAACAGUCAGGUUUAGUUAAUUUAAAAUGGUGAGUAUUAGAGCUGUUAAUACCAGCAUUGAAGAACCGGCUGCUAUGACAACGGGGGCGGAGCCAACCGCCAUUUGGAAAGGAAAAGGGGAAUGUUUUAAAACCCAGUUUCAGUCUGUGAUUUUUAGUCGCAGGAAGAAGACUGAUUCUCAUGUGGAGGAUCAGGGUGACUCAAAUAAAAGAAUUUGAGUCAGUCUGUGAUUUUAAAUCACAGGGAGCAGUCUGGUUUCAAGACUGAAGGGAACCAGAAGGACAGACCUCUAUUAGGCCAGACUAAGCAAGUUAGGGGACUUGUUUAGGGUCAUUUACAGAGGCUGUGGAUUAGGGAAAGUUAAUCCCAGUAGAUCCAGGAGGAUCAGGUUUUAGUUUAGCUAAGAGGAAGAAGUAUUUUGAAAGUUUGGACACCUCAUAUCUGUUUGUAACCAUUAAGCUAAGUGCCUUUAAAAAGUUAUAAGAAACCAUCAAGCUCUGUACAAGCAAUAAACUUGUUUUGAUUUAAUUCCA